ACCAAAUUCGGAGCGAGAAUCCUCAGCAUGAAGGGUGUGAAAAGUCCACAGCUGCUUCCCAGCUGAGUUUGUCUGCUGCUGUGUUGUCGUGAUGCUGCUGUGCCGCCGACAAAGCAGUGAACCACAAGACCGGCGACCUCUUGCUCCUGUGGACCGGUCGGACUUCUGUGCCCUCCUCCGUCUUCUUCUGUCGCCGCUGUCGGAUGUUGUGGGCAGUGAAGAGCUCCAUGUGGGGCAUCGGAGACCGCGACACGAGAGGUUAAACCGGAGCUAUGGUUGUAUGAAUGGCAGGUUGAACCUGCUGCUGUUGGACGUCGUUGCGACCGUCUACCGCCAGCGAACGCCAUAUCGCUGCUACCGCCCGCUUUUCAUGUUCCUGCUCCGUCAUGGCCCACCUCAGGUGGGUAUUGGGUCUAUUUCCGGGAAGGAAUGUGCGUACACUGCUACUUUAGGGUGCUAAUUUCGUGAUUGGGUGGCUAUCUUAGCCGGAAUCUCUAGUGGGCCACCACCACCACCGUAAGGUGGUGGCUGCCACCAUGAACAACCGCCUGCCGCAUUAGGUGGCUAUGUUUGUGUGUGUGUUUAUUAGUAUGUGNUAUGCUAGAUUACAUCCUGGUUUAGGAUGGUUGCUAUGUUAUUGAUAUGCUAGAUUUCAUCUUGGUUGAGGAUGGUUGCUAUGUUAUAUUUCGGAUAGAUCCGUAUCCUGGUUAUAGUAUGCUUGUAUGAUGUUAUGAUCUGUUAGAUCAGUAUCCUGGUAGAUAGGAUGUUGUUAUGCUAUUAUGAUUGUUAUAUCGGUAUCCUGGUUAUAGGAUGUUGCUAUGAUUGGUGAUCUGUUAGAUUGGUACGACUGUUAUAUAUAUGAAAGUGCAUGAUAUUUAUGUACACAUGCUUGUUUGAUUUGGGGUUGGGUUGAGGCAGUCCUGCUUUGUGCUGGAGGCCAACAUACCCAGGGCGGUCUAGAUAACCUGAAGGCCCUGCAAAGGGAUUCAGUCAGACCGAAGGCCUGACAAACGGUCCGGAUAGGCUGUAGGCCCUGCGAGGCAGUCCAGACGUGCCGAAGACUCGGAGAACAGUUCAUAGAGACUGAAGGCCUGUGAGGCGGUCCAGUCAGGCUGACGACUUAUUAUGCAUGUUGUUCUGUAUUGGUUAUAUGAUAUGGUUAUGUUUGUAUGGCGUUGGUAUUUUGGGGAAACUCACUAAGCUUCGGGCUUACAGUUGUUGAUUUGUUUCAGGCACUUCUGAUGAUUGUAGGAAGGCGAAGGCGUGAUUGUGCACCUCCUCAUAUUUUCAUGAUUGAUUAUGGGGAUACUCUGAUGUCUGAACCAUUUUGAAAACAAACUGUAAUAACUUAAUGGUUUUAAAAUGUAUUAAAAAGUUUAAAUUUGGCUUGAAUUUUAUGGGUGUUACAUGUUGGUAUCAGAGCCUUGGUUUGAGUGAAUUAGAGGAACACUCAUGUGAACCCAGUCUCAAAUCAAGGAAAGGAUUUUAAUAUGAAUUUUUAAAUGGUUUUCAAAAUAAGUAAAGGAGGAUGCAGGGUGUACAAUUAGCCAGAGCCAGUAAGUAGACCCCAAAAUACCAUAUAGUUAUUUGAUUAUGUGAUAUAUUUGAACACCAUGCUAGUACUAGGCUAGGGAUCUUUAGGAAUUGCGUGAUAGAAUUGCAUGAUUACAUGAUGCCUGCUAGCCUAGGGUUUCCUUAUAUGAGAUUGACAUCAUUACUGUAGUUACUUGUGUAUGCAUCACGGAUGUAUAUAAUUAAGAUCUUAUAGCCUGAGAAUGUUUGAUUUGGCCUUAUGUUCUAUUCUUAUUGAUUAGGGCUUAGGGUAGGAUCGAAUAUUCAAAAGUCCAUGGGGUCCAACGUUAUGUAUGCUAGCAUACACUAGUGCUGCAGGGUUGGUGGAAGUUUCAUGGAUGGGUGGGUCGUGAGAGGCUGAGAGGCCAGUUAUGAGAUAUUCAGUAUUCCUCUAGGAGUGAGGAUUGAGCUCUCGCUAUGUUUGUAUAUUGUUAGGGCGUUGUGAUGAUACUUGAGACAAAUAUGGGUAGGUGUGGAAGGUAGUAUGGGCCCGUACUACUGAAAGCGCAAGACCCAUACGAGUAGCAAGGAAGUCACAACCCCCAGGGUUUGGUUGGGAAUUGGCUCUUUGUCAUUAUAUGGGUUCUCAUAGACCUUUAUGAUGUGUUACCAGAAUGGUGGUUACAAAACGUCUUAAGACCGGAUCCAGGUUAGGAUCUCGUAUUGUCAGAGGAUCGUGUUAGUGAGACCCUCCGGGAGGAGGUGAUCGAGAUUGUCCAGGGACAGUUGUCGGAGAUGUUGGGCCUAUUAAGACUGUCACGGUUGAGUAUUUCGACGAGCGUUAUGCAACCAUUGCUGAGACGGCUGCUGUAGCAGCUUCAACAACUGUAACGACGGCAGGAGGGGAGUUGGUCGAGCUUUCCAGUAUCGGGACUUGUUAUUGGCACAUAUUCUAAUGAGCAUAGGGAUGCAGUUAUCUGGGAUCAUGGAGAUGUUAUGUACUUGUUACAUUCCGCGGGUUAAGCGGGAGAGUCUGGCACAUGCGUUCUAGAUUGAGGCUUUGGGNUCGAGGCCGGAAUGUGAGUCGCUGGGACUCCAGAAAGGAGUAAUGAUUAUGUUCAACUGGAGUUAUGCAUCUGGAAUUAGAAUGGUUAAUCGAUAGGGUUGGAAUGUUGUUUUCUAGGGCAAGGAAUGUUCCCUUUAAGUUUACGAGCUCGAAGGAUUGAUUAGGCUUGUGACCCCAGGAUCAAGUUGUAUUCCAGAUCAGGGUUAAUUGGUCGCCAUGAUUGGCGACAGUAGUUUAGCAUUGGUAAGCGCGGGUGGGUUGAUGUGGCAUAAGUAUUUUGGAGGUCCAUUUCGCCUUGGAUCUCUUGUAUCGGACGGUAAGGAUUGAUUGUGCGAUCUAUUGCACUUUCGGGAUUAGAGACUAUGUCUUGGGUGUAGUUGUGGCUCGGUUUAGGGCAAAGGUAGUUUCAGACUUUCAGUUACUGCAGUUCAGAUGUGGAUGAUCGAGCUGGUGAGUGAGUCAGGGUGCGAGGCCCUAAAUGAUAUGACUUCUAGAGCCGAGAGCGGGAGGAUUGUUGGAAAGCUUUAGGAAGAAGGGUAUUAUGUGGGAUGUCUGCAGACAGGGUCCCACAGGAUGGUUAUUCAACAUUGUCAGGAUUAAGUGAUUUUAGUAACCGUUAUUGACUGGCGGGGGAAGGCGCCAUGGGAAGUAGUUUGUUGUUGAGACAUUAGUUGGAGCAUCUAUUUUUUUUGGACUUCAAGAUUUGGGUGUGGGAUCAUUCGAGCUUUAGGGUGUGUUGGUUUCCCUGUGAUUUAGGAGGUGUUCAUCUAGUUAUUAGAAGGGUGUGAUCGUUCGGGAUUGGCUAGAGUACUAGUUGGAAAGGUCUGGCUGUCAUCAGAUCGAUCAAUGGAAAGUAAGAAGGAUUGGGAGUUCUUCAACUUUAAUGUAUUGUGAAGACUUAGUCGAAUCUAAGUGGGGGAGAAUUAUUCCGCGAUUCAGAAGUAUUUUGGAAAUAGGAUAAGUUUCGCAUCAUUGUCAUGAAGGAAGACAACCUAAGUGGUUGUUUGGUUUGUGGGUUGUGUGAAUUGGGAGUUCGGUAAAACUCCCGAGCAUAGGUAUCACGUCUUCCUGGUGCUUGAUAGCAGAAGUCGGGAAACCAGGUUGGAGUUCUAGUCAUGAAUCGAGUUCAGUUCGAUGUAUUCGGUCGAGGGUGUGCUCGACUCUGAAGGUUUUGGAUUGAUAGGUUGAGGGUUUUAUUAGCUGCCAGGGCUCGACAGUACAUUCAACACGGGUGUGCAGAUUAUUAGUGUACAUGGUAGACACGCGGGUCAGGGAGCAGACCACGGAUUUCCGAGAGGAUAGACGAUCGACAUGAGGCCUAGGGUUAGGCCGGGGUUUAAGUCUACGAAAUGGUAUGGAGUUCGGAACCCGGAAGUGGGUGAGAAUAGUCUACAUGGGAAAGAUCACCAGGGGGUGGUCCCAAGGAGAUACUCAACAGUUUAGAGUGGUCCAGAUGACUGAAGGCCUAGUGAGCCGGUCCAGUCAUGUUGAAGACUUUGUAUGUGUUUCUAGAUUAUAUGCGAGUAUUGAGUAUGCUACUAUGUUGUAUCAACCAGUGGGUCUGUUCCCAAGUAUUGAACAUGUUACUGGAGUAGGCUGAAGACUCAGGUGUAUUUUUGGUUUGAUCGGAAGUUGUCAUUAGAAAUCGGAUGGGGUACAGAGGAUCUUGGUGAUCUCAUCAGUUCGGAGUGUUUCAUAGGAUUAAUCUGCUUAGAUCGGGUAAUACUCCGGCUGGGGACCGAGAGUAGAUCUGAAUGGGUAUCCUUCAAUUUUAGGAAGGCUUGGGAUUAGAAUGUUCUGUAGUUCAGGUUUUGGGAACCGGGUUAAACCUGGUUAAGCUAGUGAUAAGACUGUAGGAACGCCACUAUAGUCAUGAGACCAAGGAAGCAAUGGAUUGCUUAAGGUUGCAUGUGAUGUAAGGUUACCAUUGGUCUUGUAGCAAUCGCUUUUAGCCAUGGGUUGGUAGCAACGGGAUUUGACGCAUGGAUCCGAUCGGUUGGAUCAGGAGGUUGUUAGAGUCGCAGUGGCAUGAUAACUAGUGGUGACUAGCUCCAUGGAAGGAUUUCGUUUAGAGGUCGUGUGAGGCAACUAUGUGGGAGUCCUUUAGCUCCGCGACCGGGCCGGGGCCCAGUAUUUCAGAUGAUUGGCGAACGAGAUGAGGCCAAGCAGGUCUUAGUAGAUUUUGGAAAUCAGUCAUGUGGCAGCAUAUUGCUUCAUGCAGAUCAGUGUACGGGCAGUUUCCGCUUUUGGGCAGUAUUGGUAUUUGUGUUGGGUUGCAAAUACAGACAGAAUAAUAGAUUGCUUGGGUGAUGCUAAGUGACCUACAGGGAUAAUUGGUUCUGUGAUUUCAGUUUUCACACCGGGGACCCAAAGCGGAUAAUAUUGUGAUACGUUCCUGAGGGGGAUGUUACAGAUGAUUUAGUAUGAGCAGUCUGCCAGGGAGCUAGACCAUCCCCAGACUUCAGAUUUUGAAUUGGGUAGAUGUGAUCAUUUACAAUGAAUUCAUUUAUCUUCAGGUUUCGAAACCCUGCAAGGAUUGGAUUCGGUUGCCGUGGGAAGGCUAGGGUAUUCUUGUAGUGGUGGCCAUGUAGGUCAAGUUGUCUGGUGGGUAGUAAAUGAUAAGAGACGAUUUCGAGGAUGAAAUCAAAUUUAAUUGGGGGAGAGUUGUAACAUCUCGUUUAAAAUAUAGGGAUUUAAAUAAAAAACCCGUAACCCCGAGAAGUAAUUUAUUAUUAUCUUAUAUAAUUAGAGUCCAAAAUUUUAAUAAUAAUUAUCGGAAUGUUAGUUUCGGGGGUUAAAGAAUAAUAUUGGACUUAAUUUGAAAGGAUAUUGAAUGGAUGGGGCUAAAAUAGUAAAUUACGUAUCUAAGUUGAAAUUAAUUGGUCAUGGAGGGGCCAUAUAGUAAUUUAUGGAUCUUAACUGAGAAUAAUUUGUAGAGGAGGGGUUGUUUUUGUAACUAUUGGACUUAUAUUGAAAAGUUUAUGGGAGCAAGAGUUCAAAUGGUAAAUUAAGGAUAAAAAUUUAAAGAAAAGAGAGAUGAGGGACUAAAGAUGUCAUUAUGGACAGAAGCUUGUAUGAAUCGGGGUUUAUAACUUCUCAUUCUCGAAACCCUAAACCUAAAUGAACAAUAGCCGCUACCUCCCUCACUACCCUCCCUCCAGCCACCACCCCUCCCCCUAACUUCCGGCCUCCACCACCAUUGCUAACAUCCCAAAUCAUCGAAUCCAACCAUCGUGCCUCGUCCUACUGUCCGGAAGGUACAUUGGUGACCAAAUUCGGAGCGAGAAUCCUCAGCAUGAAGGGUGUGAAAAGUCCACAGCUGCUUCCCAGCUGAGUUUGUCUGCUGCUGUGUUGUCGUGAUGCUGCUGUGCCGCCGACAAAGCAGUGAACCACAAGACCGGCGACCUCUUGCUCCUGUGGACCGGUCGGACUUCUGUGCCCUCCUCCGUCUUCUUCUGUCGCCGCUGUCGGAUGUUGUGGGCAGUGAAGAGCUCCAUGUGGGGCAUCGGAGACCGCGACACGAGAGGUUAAACCGGAGCUAUGGUUGUAUGAAUGGCAGG
rnacentral:lncRNA from 1 species